GUGGACUUUCCGGACCCCAGGCAGGGCAGAGUGAAGGCUUUCCCCAAUCAGGGAGGUCUGGGGAACUUCUCCAUCCUAAUCGAUGCCCUUCAGGCCUCAGACGUGGGCUCCUACUGUUGUGAGCUGCAGAGUCAUGACCAGUGCCAUCGAGUGGAAGUUGAAGAACUUGAAGAAGGUUCACACAUCGUGUUGUUUUUCAGCGUCGGCAGUUUGGCCAUCCUCCUAGUGCUCCUAAGUGGCUGUUUCUGCUGAGUGAAAUGGACACGAGUUUCUACUGAAAGAACACCAGACUAUAUCAACACCCAUUUCUGUGCAGGUUGGGCCUCUAUGCUCUUGUUCUAAUCCUCAAUGUUCAUUUUAAUUUUUUGAGAAAGAGAAUGUAUUACUGCUAUGGCAUUUGAGCACCACUUUCAAAUCUGAUUGAAACAUGAAAUUAGUGUAGAAUUCUGUAUAAUAUCACAGGAUCCAGUGCACCUCCUGAGGAUGUUGCAUGUAGUGACAAUGUCGGGAGAGAUGUGGUACAGGAGAGAGGUAAAAGACGUACACACAUAGGCUAAAACAGCAUGUGCUCACACUCAAACACACACACGCGCAUGCACAUGCACACACAAACACAGUGUUUUAUUAUGUCUAUGUGGUUAAGAUUCUUCAACAUUACAGCAUCACUCUAUAUUUACUAAACAAGACCACAGACUGAUGCAGACUGAUGCUCACAUCUGGUUUUUGUCUUAAUUUAGGAGUCGGCAAUGAGCGACCGAUCUAUGAAAACAAUGAACAUGAUCCAACCAGAAUGCAGCAUGAUCCGACCAGAAUUCACCAUGAUCCGACCACAAUUCAGCACGAUCCGACCAGAAUUCAGCACGAUCCAACCAGAAUUCAGCAUGAUCCCACCAGAAUUCAGCAUGAUCCCACCACAAUUCAGCACGAUCUGUCCAGAAUUCAGCAUGAUCCCACCACAAUUCAGCAUGAUCCAACCAGAAUUCAGCAUGAUCCAACCAGAAUUCAACAUGAAGCACAAAGAAACCAGCACGAACCAGUUAGAUACAAAAAUAAAUUGAGAGAUUCGAGUGAGAACAGAAGACAGGGGUUUCAUGGAGAACUCAUGAGCAGAUUGCGCCAAUCAAGUCUCGGACAGCGUUACUAUGCAAACCAAGCCGAUAUCAACCAGCAAACCAGAGUUCAGAUGGACAACCACCAAAGAGCAAACGAAGCAAAGAUCAACCAGGAUGGCAGAUCCCAAAUGGACAACUGCCAAAGAGCUGUCCUACACACUAUGCUUUACAGUAAUCUCUGAAACAAAUCAAUAUGCACUCUAGCAUUUUGUUAUUAAAGCAUUGUCUCCUCAUUGCAGGAAGCUUUUGGAGAAAGAAACCCAAAGAGCGUAAGUUGCUUUUUUUUUUACACACAACAUACUGUAUAAUCAUAAUAAUUUAUAUUAAGACCUCUCUCUCUCCCAGAAUGUGAAUAUGAAAACCCAAUCUAUAACAGUGUAGUCCAACUCCACAAACUAUAGACGAGGAUGAAGAGGAUACUGGGUCUCAACUCCUUGGUCUCAAUUUUGUUUAGAUUGUAUUUUAUUAUUUUUUGUAAAUAAAGUACAUUACAUUGUCUUGAAAGUGAAACAAAUAUGAAAUAAAGUUAAAUCAUUUUAAAAUUGGUUUAUGAUUCUUUCAUGCAUUGUAUUAUCCAAUGUGAAUCAGAAAAGUCUCUAAUCAAGACAAUGAACCCUAAUAACCCCCAGCUGUGUCACCCUACCAGUGGAUGGUCACCCAGGCCCAUUGUUUGCUGACCAUCAGAGAUGAAGAGGUACUCUUCUGUUGAUGUAAUGAUUCUUCGUUAUUAUUACCCUAACCUGCACAGAGCUAGAGGGAUAUAAUCCAUACAUUCAACCGCACUGACAGUCUGAAAGGUAGGAAAUAGAACUGCAGUUUACGAAGACAUAAAUUACAUUCAUCCAGUUUCCAUUCAACAUUACUGUAUGUCCAAUGUAAUGUGGCAGACCAAGGGGUUUUAUCAAGACGUUCACACAGAUAAGACACGGACACCUCAGUUUCAAGAGUGUUUAAUUAAAACAAAAAGAAAAGAAAUCGGUCUCCUCCAGGAAACCUCUUCCGGGUUACCGCCUUCUGGGCUCUGGAGUAGACCACCAAGCUGCUCGGGUCUAGCAGACCGUGAGGACAUCUGUCCGGUAGCAACCUCUCACUACCUCCAACUCUCCCGUGUGCUGCCCUCCUGGCAGCUUUAUGGGCCUUGUAAAGGCUGACGUUAUCAUCACUUUUAUUCCAAUGUGCCAGGGAGAUAUUGACAGUGGUCAUCAAGGCUAUGGUCGAUGAGGGCCAAGUUGAGAUCACCAAGAGAUUGCCUCUCAUCUUUAAAAUGCCAACUGGCAUCCUGAAAGGUAAGAAAAUAUUUGCCUUAAUGUGAUAUAAUACAAAAGUUGCAUUGUGGAAAGAAUGUAUUCAGCAGCAUUAUAGUGUGAAAUUAUAUCAGUUAUCAACAGUCUGUAAAACAUUCCCUCCAGAGGAAAUCAGCAAAGUUGACAAUCCACCAUCGAGAAGUUCCCCUUGGGCACUGAGACAAGGGUUCAUCCUCAUAUUUCAGGACUGCCCCCCCCCCCCCCUCUUGAACCUGGACACAGUCCAGAUCCCCUCCAACCACAUCCAGAAUGGCUAGCCCAAAACCAGGACUGAUCACUCUGUUACAUUCCUCUUUCAAUUCACCUACUGUGGCGUUCAAUCACAGAGGUGUGUACCAUUUAGAUGGUCUAUUUCUCUAUCAGAUCUAUUUCCCUACCAUGUCAAAUUGAUUUUUUUCCUUGGGCCUCCUUUCAGAUUGUUGAUGGAAAAUGUUUUUGGUAUCUCAGAUUGUUCUGGCAAUUCUUACAUAGAAACUUAAUUGUGAGAAAUGUUUGACAUGCUUCUUACAUUUGUAUCACGCAAAGCAUUUUUUUAGAAACUCAUGAUGAAAGUGGCAAUUUUAGGCCCCUUUUAGACCUAGACAUGCCUCAUGUAAGACCCUAUGAUCUGUGAACCGUACAUGAUACAGACAACAUAUUGCUGUCAUUAUACACCUUAUUGUGUGCUCAAAUAUAGAGUAUGUAUAGAUUCUGAAAUACAAUGUUUUCCAU
ensembl:lncRNA